rnacentral:tRNA from 1 species
CUGGGGUUGGCCGAGUGGUUAAGGCGUUGGACUUAAGUUCCAAUGGACAAGUGUCCCGCCGUGGGUUCGAACCCCACACCCAGU